rnacentral:rRNA from 1 species
CAAUGCGAGCAAUCGUGAUAAGGGAACUCCGAGUGCCCGUAAAAUCGGGCUGUCCGCCAGUGUAAAUAACUGGUGAAGAAAGGGCCGGGCAAGACCGGUGCCAGCCGCCGCGGUAAUACCGGCGGCUCGAGUGGUGGCCACUAUUACUGGGCUUAAAGCGUUCGUAGCUGGUCUGUUAAGUCUCUGGGGAAAUCUUCCGGCUUAACCGGAAGGCGUCUCAGGGAUACUGACAGACUAGGGACCGGAAGAGGUGAGAGGUACUCCAGGGGUAGGAGUGAAAUCCUGUAAUCCUUGG